AUAACAAUACAAGGCAUCCAUGUCUUGUACUUGGAAUGAAUGGAUUUUAAACCUUUCUAUAAGUAUCAAUUGGAGGGCAA
rnacentral:rRNA from 1 species